rnacentral:tRNA from 1 species
GGGCGGUUAGCUCAGCGGUAGAGCACAUCCCUCACACGGAUGGGGCCACUGGUUCGAUCCCAGUAUCGCCCACCA